CCAGAAAUGUAUUUUUCUUUUGAAUUUCAAUACACUUGCUUAUACAGUAUAAUCCAGUACAAUUUAUUGUUGAAAUUUUUAUCACCAGCUCCAGCUCUAAACUCAAUUAGUGUCAGUUUUCUACAUAAUAUUUGACACAAAAUGUCAUUUGUGGAGUGCUGAAUUUGUGAUACUUAAUGCAAUAGUGCUGUACUUUACAUAUGUGUCUAAUAAUUUUAAUAUCAUUAUGUUGUUCUAAGUCGAUUAAACAUAUUUAAUUGCAUUAGUUGCAAGCAAAGAUUUAACAAAUCUAAACAAAAUUUAUUUGAAUUCAUAUUCAGUUAAAAUACAUUAAUAAUUUUAAUCAGACUAAACUGUAAAAAUGAUUGACUUUUAGUUAGGUGAAUGAGUCAAGUUCUCUAAACGUACAGUCGAACUACAACAAUGAACUAGAAAAACUACAAUUUGAACAGAAAUUAAAUCAUGCACGUAUUAUAGCCUAUAAACUUUUUGUUUAAUGCGCAUGCGCUAAAAUACUACGUCAUGACGGCACACUACUUCACCAGAGUUUGAAAAAUGCACUUUCAGCCAUCUUUCUGUGAUCGCGAUGCGCGAGGCAACAUUGCUGAUCAAAGAAGAAAACAAAGGAGCGCACGUUUGGAUGACUAGACGUUAUGUACUACAAAUGAAGAAGCAAGAUCAGUACAGAUCUGUCAAUGGAGAUACAGUGCAAGCUGUGUGGAAUCAAAGACCCGUAUUGAUGAGGCCAGUGUCAGUGAAGAUGGUGUGGCCACUGGAAUCCUUGUGUUUGUGGGAAAUGUGAAGGAGCUUCUCCCAGGAUUCUACAACAGUGUUGACCUGAUGACUGAGGUAAUUCAUCUUGGGUGAUGCAGUUGCGGUCAAAAGUUUACUUACACCUUGCAGAAUGAACUGCUUCAUCAGGGAAGUACUAAAUAAAA